GACGAACGCUGGCGGCAUGCCUAAUACAUGCAAGUCGAGCGAACAGAUGAAGUGCUUUCACUUCUGACGUUAGCGGCGAACGGGUGAGUAACACGUAAGGAAUCUACCUAUAAGCGGGGGAUAACAUUCGGAAACGGGUGCUAAUACCGCAUAAUAUCUUCUUCCGCAUGGAAGAAGAUUGAAAGACGGCUCUGCUGUCACUUAUAGAUGACCUUGCGGUGCAUUAGUUAGUUGGUGGGGUAAUGGCCUACCAAGACAAUGAUGCAUAGCCGAACUGAGAGGGUGAUCGGCCACAUUGGGACUGAGACACGGUCCAAACUCCUACGGGAGGCAGCAGUAGGGAAUCUUCCGCAAUGGGCGAAAGCCUGACGGAGCAAUGCCGCGUGAGUGAAGAAGGCCUUCGGGUCGUAAAACUCUGUUAUAAGAGAAGAACAAAUUGUAGAGUAACUGCUACAGUCUUGACGGUAUCUUAUCAGAAAGCCACGGCUAACUACGUGCCAGCCGCCGCGGUAA
rnacentral:rRNA from 1 species